rnacentral:lncRNA from 1 species
CCCUGUGUGACAAAGAACCAGGCCCUUGGAAACAGCCAUAACAAAAUUUUAUUCUUGGCUCUGUUAUUUCUUAGUAUCCCUUGUCUCCACCGCGAGGAAGCAGCUUUCCCUCCUGGGAAUACACAAGGUGCAGUGCUCAUUUACGUCUGUCUCCACUCAGGACGUUUAAGGAAAUCUGACACAUGCUUGCACCGUGCACCAGCUGCUCUGAAGAGAUACUUCCACGGUCUGAGAAUGCACCACCUAUGUGAGUCUUAG